rnacentral:rRNA from 1 species
CACGGGGGGGGCAAGCGUUGUUCGGAAUUACUGGGCGUAAAGGGCUCGUAGGUGGCCAACUAAGUCAGACGUGAAAUCCCUCAGCUUAACUGGGGAACUGCGUCUGAUACUGGAUGGCUUGAGUUUGGGAGAGGGAUGCGGAAUUCCAGGUGUAGCGGUGAAAUGCGUAGAUAUCUGGAGGAACACCGGUGGCGAAGGCGGCAUCCUGGACCAACACUGACACUGAGGAGCGAAAGCCAGGGGAGCAAACGGG